AUGAUAUCGUCGAAAAAUGACAGAAAAUUCAAAAUAGAACGAAAUUUUCAAGCUUCAAUUUCAUUAAGAAUCCUUUUGACAAUUGAGAAAUUUAUCAUUUACUAAUUUCUUUUCAUUGGAAAUAUGUAAAAUUAGAUGGUAAAGCUAAUUGUAAAUCAACAUUUUCACUAUUAUUUUUGAUAUAUUUUUCAACCUUAGCAGUUAACAGCUAAGCAACAAAAACAUGCUUACACAAUAUAUAAAAAUACAGGAUAGAGGAAUGAGAAGUAUAAAUUAUUUUAAAAAGAAAUGAAACAAAUAGAAAUCACAAGAAUCCACCAAAAAUAAUAUUAUUAUAAAAUUGACAAAAUAAAAUAAAAUAGGGGAAUAUUACAUCCACGUAUAAAUCCAUUACUCACCUAUUUUCAAUCUGCAAAAAAAAAAAAAAAUCAUAUCCAUGUCUAAAUAAUAACAUGUAAUGUACUAGGAAUUAAAAAAAAAUAAAAAAUAAACGAAGAGUUCAAAAAACCUCACCUGGCGUAAACAAAAAAGAGACCAAAUUGGUUGAUAGGGAAGGGGUGAUUAAAUUUGUUUACUUAUUAUACGUUGAUAAGGAUUUUUUGUAGAAAAGUAAUAAUGAUUUGUAAUUAAAGCUAAAAAAAAAAAAACUAAAACUUUAAACCCAUUUAUGGGUUAUUUAAUAACUUUUUGAAUCUGUACGUUUCAAAUGUACGCUACCCAGCAACAAUGAUCGUGGGCGACUCCUGACUAACAAAGUUUAUUCUGGCUUGAGUGCUACAUUUAUUGCAUGAGCCUUUUAUUAAUCCAUAGGUUAGUCGUAUAAAUGAACCAAAAAAACGCAAUUAAAAUUGAGAAAAAUGUCAAAAAAAAAAAAAAAAAAGAUAAAUGCAAAUGUUGGUCAUAGAAAGGUAGAAUAAAACGAUAAAGUGAAACUUUACCAUUGUCAUACAAUACUAAAAGUGGAAAGCCCCUUAGUUAGAAGUUGGAUUAUGAUAAUACCCUUCAAAUAUUGAGUGACCUUUUUAUCCUUGAUAGUUAAAACAAAUUACUUUUAAUUAGCUUUAAUUAAUUUACAUUGCAGUUAAUGGUUUCCCCCACCUCUCACUUACUAAUAGUUGGAUAUUAAUUUACAAUUCAGUUAUUUCUCCUUACAUCUUCCGUGUAGUAAUGUAAUUGUCCGCUAUGAAUAUGUUAACUAUUAGUGAUAGUAAUGAUUUUCAGUUACAUAUUAAUUUAAUAUUUUUACAACCUUUUACGUGCCUAUUCAAUGCAUUUGGAAUUGAUUUCUGUUACACUACUCUUAUAGGAGUAAUAUUUUUUAUAACAAAAAAAGUAAAUUUACCUACUAAAUUAUAAUAAAUGAUACAGUUCUACUACAAUGAAUCAAGACAACGGGGAAAUAACUUGGUGGAUUUCGUGCAAAUGCCUAUUCAAUGAAUUUGGAAUUGAUUUCAUCUUCCUUUACGUUUAAUAUCUUGGAGUUCAUUUCAACUUCCAGCAGCAGACUUAAGUCGUACAAAUUGUCAAUUAGCUAUUGAACCAUUGCAGAGCAAGAUGAUAUUCUCUUCUUCUUCUCUCCUAUUCAGUUUUUUCCCUCCAUUUUGGUCCACUCGCCUGUGAUGCAAUUACGGAGGAGAAGAGAAUCAAUUUCAGUUAUAAUGAGGUUGUGUCCAUUGUUGAUACACCAUCUGAGGCCAAACAGGAAUGCAUUUGCCUCUGCAGUGUUGCUGGUACCUUUUCCUAGUGGAAGAAUAAAUGUCGUGAUGCAUAUACCUAUAGAAUCUCUAAUCACCCCACCCCCUCCACUAAUUUCUCCCACGCAAGAACCAUCAGAGUUCAUUUUGGCAAAAAGAAUGGGGGGUUUUGAGCCAUUUGACUGGGAUGAUAGUACUGUCUACGAACUUUGCUUCUAUGAGUUUGAGUAAACUGGUCCAGCAUUCAGGAAUUUCAAACCUUGGGAAGGUUUUCCUUGUUAACUGACUAAUGUUGAAAGAGAUAAGUGCUAUAGAUCUUCUGGUAGAGGGUUUUUCAUCUUCAUAUUUUGAAUUACACCUUGAUCUCCAGAGUUCCCACAUGAUGGAUUGGUGGGAGGAUCUUCAAAAUGUAAACAACAAUUGGAUUUUUGGUUGAACAGUUCUAGCAUCUUUGCAGUA